AAGUAUUACAGAUGUUUUAGAAUUUGUCUAGCAGGUUUUCCAGUUUGUACCAGAAAACCCCU
ensembl:snRNA U7 U7 small nuclear RNA